rnacentral:rRNA from 1 species
AAUUAACGGGGGCCCACACAAGCGGAGGAACAUGUGGUUUAAUUCGAUGAUACGCGAGGAACCUUACCCGGGCUUGAACUGCCGGCGGACGAUACAGAGAAGUAGAGGCCCUUCGGGGCGCCGGUGGAGGUGCUGCAUGGUUGUCGUCAGCUCGUGCCGUGAGGUGUCGGCUUAAGUGACAUAACGAGCGCAACCCCUUUCUCCAGUUGCCAUCAGGUCGAGCUGGGCACUCUGGAGACACUGCCGCCGUAAGGUGUGAGGAAGGUGGGGAUGACGUCAAAUCAGCACGGCCUUAACGUCCGGGGCUACACACGUGUUACAAUGGGUGGUACAGAGAGUCGGUCGCCUGCAAAUACGAUAUAAUCCUUAAAGCCAUCCUCAGUUCGGAUUGGGGUCUGCAACCCGACCCCAUGAAGCUGGAUUCGCUAGAAAUC